UACGUAGGCAGCGAGCGUUGUUCGGAGUUACUGGGCGUAAAGCGUGCGUAGGCGGUUUUCCAAGUCUGGUGUGAAAUCUCCCGGCUCAACUGGGAGGGUGCGCUAGAAACUGGGAGGCUGGAGUGCGGGAGAGGUAGGCGGAAUUCCUGGUGUAGCGGUGAAAUGCGUAGAUAUCAGGAGGAACACCGGUGGUGUAGACGGCCUGCUGGACCGUAACUGACGCUGAGGCACGAAAGCGUGGGGAGCAAACAGG
rnacentral:rRNA from 1 species